CCUCUCACCCCACUCCCCGCCCACAUCCCCAGUGCACACAGUAGGUAGGGAUGGGAAGAUGUAGAGAACCUGCCUAUUAGCAAGGGCAGGACUCUCCAAGCAGCAACCACCCGAGUCCUUUUGGUAUAGCUCUGUCUCUGAAGACAGCAUCUCCCAGCUGGAAGUGAAUGCCAGAGUGGGCCAACCUGGCCUUCAACACUGCCCACUCUGUGCCUUCCCGCCCACCCUGCAAGCCAGGGCAGAGGCACAGGGCAGGAAGCACUGUUUAUGUUGGACAGUGGGCUGUUUCCCCAGGCCCUAAACCUUGGAACCCCUCUUUCCUCCUAUUUCCCACCCAAGCUAGCAUGUGCCUGCUCAGAGGAGACACUGGGUGAUUCCAGAAAAGGGGGUGUCAUGCAAGCUCAAGGGACUUCCGGUGGUAGACCUUUCUUGAAAGCCAAGGUCCAUAUAUCCUUCAGUAAUGUCAGAGUCUAUGGACCUGUGCCCCACCCCACCCCCACCCUCCCUGAUGUCUGCCCUGCCCUCUCCACUCCCUUUCCCACCAACUGCCCAACCAUCCCCUCCCACACCACCACUCCAGCUACCAAGAAUUCCAAACAAGAGGCUGGGAUCCAGGCCCUGUUUAUGUCAUGGCAAGCUCUGUCCCGCCAGAAACUGCCCACCUCUGACCCCCGGCUCUACCCCCAGGGCUCUGCUAGAAGAAACAUUGAGCAGGGAUGGGUGGACAGGCCCUCCCCGUCUGAGGCUGCAGGCAAACUGUUUCUCCGUUAUUCGCCUGAGACCCAAACAGCCUCAGCCUACAUGAGUGAGGACUAGGUGGGACCCAAGAACUACCAGGGAGACUUCUGGACUCUGCAGAGAGCAAGGCCCCUGUCCAUCUGCAGCUGGGCUCUGCAGGACCCUUAGAUUUGGGUUUCCAGUAAAACCAGAGAAAUAGGACUGCCAAUAUUUUGGGAGGUGAAGAUGGAGACAGAGCCUACUUCAGGAGUGAUUUGUCUCAUUGUCUUAUAGGCAGGUAGAGGCCACACUCUAGGCCUAGAGACCACACACGAGCCAUGUGGUCCCCUUGGGUGCUUUAGCAAGAGAGCUUAGGUGGACUCCCAGCAAUGCUAAGUGUAUAAAAGAACUCCAUCUUGUUCUAGAUGGAAGCAGGAAAGCCUAGGGUAAAAGCCUCCAAAAACAGAGAUGCUUCUAAAAUUUGUGUAGCCUGUGGUGGUGUUGCAACACCAGAGAGUUGGAGGCAGAGGAUCAGUUCAAAGCCAGACUGGGCUACAAGUUAGACGUCACGGUGGACUGACUCCAUGGGACGAAACCCUCCAGAGUGGACCUUUGAAGUGGCCUUUAAGAAAUGACAGGAAUCUACUAGUGCAGACUCCAAGCCAUGGCCUAGGCUGCUGACGAACAGGACAAGUGGGAAAAUGUGCAUGAGAGGUAGCCGAGUGGACUCAGGCAAGCCCGACGUGGCCAGAGUGCUGUCCUUUCCCGUGGGCAGUGUGAAAGUGGGAGAGAUGCUCACUGGUUUGUGGAAGGCAUCUUAGCAAAUGGGGAAGAGAGCUAGCUGGUCCAUUGGACUCCAAGCCUCCACAGUGGACAGGAAGCCUCGGCGUCAAGCUGCUGGGGGUCCCCACUCUCCUGGUCUCCAACGGCUGAAGAAGGAACUGGGCGGGAGCUCUGUUCUUAAAUCUUCCCACACCUCUGAUGGAUGGAG
rnacentral:lncRNA from 1 species